AAAGCUGUUAUGUUAUGAUGUGAUCUUGAAAUUAACUGUCCACUGCUAUUAGAGGAUGCAACCUUUGUGUGCCCAUUCUACCCAACGAUUUCGGAAGGCUUUUAGAUUGACAUCCUAAACAGGAAGUGCGAGGAAUGGUCAGGGAGGAUACACUGAUCUCUCAGAGGGAUUUGCCCCUUCAUUUAAUAUCCCUGUCUAUUGCCCUAAGAAAAAAGAAAACAAGACUUGGCGAGGUUACCUACACAUAUCACCGGCUAUGUCGGAGACAUACGAUUUCCUGUUCAAGUUCCUUGUUAUAGGAAAUGCAGGAACUGGCAAAUCUUGCCUUCUUCACCAAUUCAUAGAAAAGAGAUUCAAGGAGGACUCAAACCACACAAUAGGCGUGGAGUUUGGCUCCAAAAUCAUCAGUGUGGUGAACAAGUUCGUCAAGCUGCAAAUCUGGGACACAGCAGGACAGGAGAGAUUUAGGUCAGUCACCCGCAGCUAUUACAGAGGAGCAGCAGGAGCGUUGCUAGUCUAUGACAUCACAAGUCGGGAAACCUACAAUGCCCUCACAAACUGGCUAACGGAUGCAAGAAUGCUGGCCAGCCAAAACAUUGUCAUCAUCCUGUGUGGGAACAAGAAAGACCUGGAUGCAGAUCGGGAGGUGACUUUCUUGGAGGCGUCACGCUUUGCACAAGAGAACGAGCUGAUGUUUCUGGAGACCAGCGCACUGACGGGGGAGAACGUGGAGGAGGCUUUUGUGCAGUGUGCUCGGAAAAUCCUCAACAAGAUAGAAUCAGGAGAGCUGGACCCAGAGCGCAUGGGUUCUGGCAUCCAGUACGGAGACGCGGCGCUGCGACAGCUGCGCUCCCCCCGCAGGGCGCAGGCCCAGAGUGCCCAGGAGUGUGGCUGCUAAUCCGCAUGCCUUCCGCACUGGCAACCAAGGAGGGAGGAGAGGACCUAGUGGGAGACUAUAUUUGGUGUCCCAAAAGACAGGUGUGUGAGGACGUGGAGAGAUCGGACAGCCGUGGGGGGAAAGCGUUGUGAUGUUGGGGCUCGGUGAGGCGGAUUCUUUUCCUGAACCUUCCUUUUUGCUUGCGGACGGAUUGGCUAGCGGCGGAGAGAAGCCCUGGCCGGGCCGUCAAAACUCCAGCUCUCUCUGGAACGCCAAGAUCAGCGUCCCCGCCCCCCCCCCCCCCCGAGAGGGAGCGCCCUUGUGAUCCAAAACAUCCAAGAGUGGAGAGAGGGGAAACAGAAAAAAAAAGAAAACCCACCUGUCAUCCCUGUCAUCUUUGCUGAACGCCCCUGUGUUGAAGGGCAGGCCCGUCCAUGCCCCCUAGUUUCUCACCGUGUAUGUUGUAAACCCACUCUGGAGGAAGCCCCCCCUCUCAAAGCAUGUUUUUAGGAUUGACAUGGACAUGCAUCUCAUCUUUAGCUUUAGCUCUCAUAUGAUAGAUAAUCUGUCAAUAGUGGCAUAUCGCGUUUACGUCUGUGGCGAAUCGUUCCUUUCAGUGCAAUGUUAAAAAAUACUCCCCAGACUUGCAGGCAGACACUUUCACACAUGUAUGCAGUUAUCAUGGACUCUCAGUUUCCUGUGUUUGUACAAAGACAGUCACUGCUCUUGCGUUCUAUCACUAUCACACCUCAAAUGGAAAGCUGCUGUGUUUCUUUAUAUCCAGUUGAACAUGCAGUAUUGGAGGGACCCUCAUUAGAAAAUGAGUGUCCUCCAUUGGAGAGAAUGUUUCACAAGGUUUUCUGUUUGUCCUUCAGCCUAUGAUUAUUCUUCUUCAUUAUUUAGUUGUGCAUCUUUGAAACCUAAAUGUUCUAAGUGAACGGACCAACUUCAGCCUUUCAUCUUUUGUCAAGUGUGUAUCAUGACAAUAUACAUUUUUAGCAUGUGUGUAUUUUUUUUUUUAAUAUAGAUCACUAGGCCCCUUCAUUUUUACUUGAAAAUGUCUCACUCUCACAACCUGUGUUUGUCAUGAUUUUACAGACAUAUGAAAUACCAAAUACACUACUGUAUGUUGAAUGUGUAGCAAAAUAUCUUUGAAAUCCUUUCAAAUCUAAUCCUUUAGUUUAGUGUGUCUGUUUCUCAUCGUCAUUUGUCAGGGAACAGCAGUGCUGCCGUACAGAAAGAAAUAUAUACCUCUACACUGUUCUCAGAGGGAAAGACACUAUCAAACUUUGUAUCUAUACUGAGGCAAGCAUCCUAAAAGCACGAUGGAGCGAAGACUUUAAAGUUGGUUAGUUUUUCACAUCUUCAAUCAAUUAUGUAAUGAUACUCAAGUGUUUUUUUUUU